UUGGGAGGACCAUGCGCCAAAUUAAGCAAUUGAGGAAAAGGACUGAAAGAUGUGAUGGUAUGGCCCCUGCUGACAUCUAGGCCAGAUGUCGUUCCACUUCUUCUCCCCAAAAUGGCUGAAAUGCAGUUCACACCGCAUAUGCUUCUGGACAAAAUCACAUGGCCAAUUGAGGACAAUGAGACUUUGACAUUGAGUCCACAUGCCACAUCACUGGCUUUCUAAGAAUGUUCAUUGAAAUAGCUUCAUCGGGUACACUGGCUCAGCUGCUGACUUUCUGGGUUGGCUAGGAGAAGCUUCCCCCUGUACUGAAAGUGGAGAUUUCUGGUGGAACCCUUCCUACGGCCGCCAAAUGCUUUGAAACACUAAAGCUGCCAGCUCAUUUCAAAACC